rnacentral:rRNA from 1 species
UACGUAGGGGGCAAGCGUUGUCCGGAUUCAUUGGGCGUAAAGCGCGCGCAGGCGGUCUGUUAAGACAGAUGUGAAAUCCCCGGGCUUAACCUGGGAACUGCAUUUGUGACUGGCAGGCUAGAGUAUGGCAGAGGGGGGUAGAAUUCCACGUGUAGCAGUGAAAUGCGUAGAGAUGUGGAGGAAUACCGAUGGCGAAGGCAGCCCCCUGGGUCAAGAUUGACGCUCAUGCACGAAAGCGUGGGGAGCAAACAGG